GGGCAAAGGAGGAUUCGACUUUUCAUUAAAUGAGUAAACAAAUGAGAGUACAAUAUGGAGAAAAUAGCCUAAAUGUACAACAUGUACAUUACCCAAAACCCUGAAUACAAAGCUCAAAAUUCCAAAGAGCAAACCGAUAAACAAAACGCUAAAUCUCAUAGGGCACUCACAAAAGGGAUAUAAAAUACUCUCCAUAAUUACCACGAAGCUCUCA
rnacentral:lncRNA from 1 species